rnacentral:lncRNA from 1 species
GUAGCUCUGUGGAUACGCAUGUGGUCAGCAAAGACGAGCAGAAAUGAACCCAUGCUCGGUGCGGGCUGUCCUGCUUUCCUGAGCUCAGCUGCUCGAGUGUGUUUCAAGAAGAAUAAUAGUAAAAGCUGAAUGCCUCUGCCACUGAUCGCCGUCCCCUCAUGUCCUGAUUUAGUGAGAGCCACAGAGUGAUCCUGGCCACAUCUCAGAGGUCCUGGGGAGAUGGCAGUCAUCAAGUCAGACAAAAUCUCUGCUUUCAAGGAACUUAUAUUCUAGUGGAGGAAGACAGACAAUAAGCACAUUUAUAGUAUGUCGGUGGCGAAUGAAAACUAGGAAGAAAAAUAAAUCGAGUUAUAGGAAAGAUGAGCUAAUGAUGUCAUCCAGGGAGGUUGCCUGGCCAAACAGGGCCUCAUGGUGAGAAACAAAUUGCCAAAGGGGCGGAGAACAGUAUCUGCUGGUCAGAGGAUUCUCUCUCCGGGUCCUGAGCUCCAAGACCUGCAGGAACCCACUGCAGUCCGUGUCGGGCUGCAGACACUACCUGCAGCUUUUUACCUCUCCAGUCCCACAUACGCAGGAGAAUUGAUGUAUUUUCACACGGGAUGCCCCCUGACAGUUAAAAGACUGUUUGGCAAUCAAGGACACCAUACUGAUUCCAGCUGGGAACCAAGAUGAGUAAGAUGCAAUCCCUACCUCCAAGGAGGCCAAGACGGGAACAAGAACCUCUAGGUAUCAACUUCCACUUCUCUUCUCUGGAAAAUUUGAGGGCUGUCUCCAAACGGUGCUUCGAUUGCGAGUCAGAGGGAGAAGAAUGUUCAGGUCCCGUAAGCAGAAGCCCCCACAGAGUGUGUUUGCUGGUAACCAGCUUUUCUCAGGUUGUAAUGACUGAAGGUGAAUGAAGGAUUGAAGGCUUCGGGUGGAGAAUUAUCAAUCAGAUAGGGUGAAUAAACUCAAU